rfam:Danio rerio chromosome 4, GRCz11 reference primary assembly.
GCCCCGCUCGCUCAGUCGAUAGAGCAUGAGACUCUUAAUCUCAGUGUCGUGGGUUAGAGCCCCACAUUGGGCG